rnacentral:rRNA from 2 species
CAAAGCCGCACAUGGCUCAUUACAACAGCCACAGUUUAUUAGAUCGUACUAUCCUACUUGGAUAACUGUGGUAAUUCUAGAGCUAAUACACGCAGCAAAGCUCGGACUCACGAACGAGCGCAUUUAUUAGAGCAAAACCAAUCGGGCUUCGGCCCGUACUUUGGUGAAUCUGAAUAACUCUGCAGAUCGCACGGUCUCGCACCGGCGACGCAUCUUUCAAAUGUCUGCCUUAUCAACUUUCGAUGGUAGUUUAUACGCCUACCAUGGUUGUAACGGGUAACGGAGAAUAAGGGUUCGACUCCGGAGAGGGAGCCUGAGAAACGGCUACCACAUCCAAGGAAGGCAGCAGGCACGCAAAUUACCCACUCCCGGCACGGGGAGGUAGUGACGAAAAAUAACGAGGCGGUUCUCUACGAGGCCCGCCAUCGGAAUGGGUACAAUUUAAAUCCUUUAACGAGGAUCUAUUGGAGGGCAAGUCUGGUGCCAGCAGCCGCGGUAAUUCCAGCUCCAAUAGCGUAUAUUAAAGUUGUUGCGGUUAAAAAGCUCGUAGUUGGAUCUGCGGUCAAGGGAAUCGGUCCUCCGACGGAUGGUACUGGUUUUCCUGACCUAACUACUUCGGUUUUCCCUUGAUGCUCUUAACCGGGUGUCUUGGGCGACCGAAACGUUUACUUUGAAAAAAUUAGAGUGCUCAAAGCAGGCGUUCAGCCUGAAUAGUGGUGCAUGGAAUAAUAAAAGAGGAUCUCGGUUCUAUUUUGUUGGUAUUGGAUUGAGAUAAUGAUCGAUGGGGAUAGACGGGGGCAU